rnacentral:ncRNA from 1 species
UUCAACACCAUAACUGCUCCCAACCAAGACCUCUGUAGGCAGUAUAAUACUUCGUCUUUCUAUCCAGUAGUGAGGGAUUACUGGAAAUAAGUUUCGCA